rnacentral:rRNA from 1 species
GAUGAACGCUAGCUACAGGCUUAACACAUGCAAGUCGAGGGGCAGCAUUUCAGUUUGCUUGCAAACUGGAGAUGGCGACCGGCGCACGGGUGAGUAACACGUAUCCAACCUGCCGAUAACUCGGGGAUAGCCUUUCGAAAGAAAGAUUAAUACCCGAUGGUAUAAUUAGACCGCAUGGUCUUGUUAUUAAAGAAUUUCGGUUAUCGAUGGGGAUGCGUUCCAUUAGGCAGUUGGUGAGGUAACGGCUCACCAAACCUUCGAUGGAUAGGGGUUCUGAGAGGAAGGUCCCCCACAUUGGAACUGAGACACGGUCCAAACUCCUACGGGAGGCAGCAGUGAGGAAUAUUGGUCAAUGGGCGCAGGCCUGAACCAGCCAAGUAGCGUGAAGGAUGACUGCCCUAUGGGUUGUAAACUUCUUUUAUAUGGGAAUAAAGUUUUCCACGUGUGGAAUUUUGUAUGUACCAUAUGAAUAAGGAUCGGCUAACUCCGUGCCAGCAGCCGCGGUAAUACGGAGGAUCCGAGCGUUAUCCGGAUUUAUUGGGUUUAAAGGGAGCGUAGGUGGACAGUUAAGUCAGUUGUGAAAGUUUGCGGCUCAACCGUAAAAUUGCAGUUGAUACUGGCUGUCUUGAGUACAGUAGAGGUGGGCGGAAUUCGUGGUGUAGCGGUGAAAUGCUUAGAUAUCACGAAGAACUCCGAUUGCGAAGGCAGCUCACUGGACUGCAACUGACACUGAUGCUCGAAAGUGUGGGUAUCAAACAGGAUUAGAUACCCUGGUAGUCCACACAGUAAACGAUGAAUACUCGCUGUUUGCGAUAUACAGUAAGCGGCCAAGCGAAAGCAUUAAGUAUUCCACCUGGGGAGUACGCCGGCAACGGUGAAACUCAAAGGAAUUGACGGGGGCCCGCACAAGCGGAGGAACAUGUGGUUUAAUUCGAUGAUACGCGAGGAACCUUACCCGGGCUUAAAUUGCAUUUGAAUAUAUUGGAAACAGUAUAGCCGUAAGGCAAAUGUGAAGGUGCUGCAUGGUUGUCGUCAGCUCGUGCCGUGAGGUGUCGGCUUAAGUGCCAUAACGAGCGCAACCCUUAUCUUUAGUUACUGACAGGUCAUGCUGAGGACUCUAGAGAGACUGCCGUCGUAAGAUGUGAGGAAGGUGGGGAUGACGUCAAAUCAGCACGGCCCUUACGUCCGGGGCUACACACGUGUUACAAUGGGGGGUACAGAAGGCAGCUACCUGGUGACAGGAUGCUAAUCCCAAAAGCCUCUCUCAGUUCGGAUCGAAGUCUGCAACCCGACUUCGUGAAGCUGGAUUCGCUAGUAAUCGCGCAUCAGCCAUGGCGCGGUGAAUACGUUCCCGGGCCU